rnacentral:rRNA from 1 species
UCCGUAGGCGGUGUGGCAAGUCGGUAGUGAAAUCUCUCGGCUUAACUGAGAGGCUGCUGCCGAAACUACCAUGCUCGAGUGCGAGAGAGGCGAGUGGAAUUGCGGGUGUAGCGGUGAAAUGCGUAGAUAUCCGCAGGAACAUCCGAGGCGAAAGCGGCUCGCUGGAUCGCAACUGACGCUGAGGGACGAAAGCUAGGGGAGCAAACAGGAUUAGAUACCCUGGUAGUCCUAGCCCUAAACCAUCAGGACUUGGGGUUUGCCCUGUACGGGGCAAGUCCCGGAGCUAACGCGUUAAGUCCUGCGCCUGGGGAGUACGGUCGCAAGGCUAGAA